rnacentral:rRNA from 1 species
GCGAACGCUGGCGGCAGGCCUAACACAUGCAAGUCGAACGAACUCUUCGGAGUUAGUGGCGGACGGGUGAGUAACACGUGGGAACGUGCCUUUUGGUUCGGAAUAACUCAGGGAAACUUGUGCUAAUACCGAAUGUGCCCUUCGGGGGAAAGAUUUAUCGCCAUUAGAGCGGCCCGCGUCUGAUUAGCUAGUUGGUGAGGUAACGGCUCACCAAGGCGACGGUCAGUAGCUGGUCUGAGAGGAUGACCAGCCACACUGGGACCGAGACACGGCCCAGACUCCUACGGGAGGCAGCAGUGGGGAAUCUUGCGCAAUGGGCGAAAGCCUGACGCAGCCAUGCCGCGUGAAUGAUGAAGGUCUUAGGAUUGUAAAAUUCUUUCACCGGGGACGAUAAUGACGGUACCCGGAGAAGAAGCCCCGGCUAACUUCGUG